rnacentral:rRNA from 1 species
CACGUAGGGGGCGAGCGUUGUCCGGAUUUAUUGGGCGUAAAGGGCUCGUAGGCGGCUCAGUAAGUCGGGUGUGAAACCUCCAGGCUCAACCUGGAGACGCCACUCGAUACUGCUGUGGCUAGAGUCCGGUAGGGGAGCAUGGAAUUCCUGGUGUAGCGGUGAAAUGCGCAGAUAUCAGGAGGAACACCAGUGGCGAAGGCGGUGCUCUGGGCCGGAACUGACGCUGAUGAGCGAAAGCGUGGGUAGCAAACAGG